rnacentral:rRNA from 1 species
UAGGGAAUCUUCGGCAAUGGACGGAAGUCUGACCGAGCAACGCCGCGUGAGUGAAGAAGGUUUUCGGAUCGUAAAGCUCUGUUGUAAGAGAAGAACGAGUGUGAGAGUGGAAAGUUCACGCUGUGACGGUAUCUUACCAGAAAGGGACGGCUAACUACGUGCCAGCAGCCGCGGUAAUACGUAGGUCCCGAGCGUUGUCCGGAUUUAUUGGGCGUAAAGCGAGCGCAGGCGGUUAGAUAAGUCUGAAGUUAAAGGCUGUGGCUUAACCAUAGUACGCUUUGGAAACUGUUUAACUUGAGUGCAAGAGGGGAGAGUGGAAUUCCAUGUGUAGCGGUGAAAUGCGUAGAUAUAUGGAGGAACACCGGUGGCGAAAGCGGCUCUCUGGCUUGUAACUGACGCUGAGGCUCGAAAGCGUGGGGAGCAAACAGGAUUAGAUACCCUGGUAGUCCACGCCGUAAACGAUGAGUGCUAGGUGUUAGACCCUUUCCGGGGUUUAGUGCCGAAGCUAACGCAUUAAGCACUCCGCCUGGGGAGUACGACCGCAAGGUUG